rnacentral:rRNA from 1 species
AUACGUAGGUGGCAAGCGUUGUCCGGAUUUAUUGGGCGUAAAGCGAGCGCAGGCGGUUCUUUAAGUCUGAUGUGAAAGCCCCCGGCUCAACCGGGGAGGGUCAUUGGAAACUGGAGGACUUGAGUGCGGAAGAGGAGAGUGGAAUUCCAUGUGUAGCGGUGAAAUGCGUAGAUAUAUGGAGGAACACCAGUGGCGAAGGCGGCUCUCUGGUCUGUAACUGACGCUGAGGCUCGAAAGCGUGGGGAGCAAACAGGAUUAGAUACCCUGGUAGUCCACGCCGUAAACGAUGAGUGCUAAGUGUUGGAGGGUUUCCGCCCUUCAGUGCUGCAGCUAACGCAUUAAGCACUCCGCCUGGGGAGUACGGCCGCAAGGCUGAAACUCAAAGGAAUUGACGGGG